GUGGAAACACGAGAGUGCCCUUCGGGAGCCCGAAGACAGGUGCUGCAUGGCUGUCGUCAGCUCGUGUCGUGAGAUGUUGGGUUAAGUCCCGCAACGAGCGCAACCCUUAUCAUUAGUUGCUACGCAAGGGCACUCUAAUGAGACUGCCGGUGACAAACCGGAGGAAGUGGGGAUGACGUCAAGUCCUCAUGGCCCUUAUGGGUAGGGCUUCACACGUCAUACAAUGGUCGGUACAGAGGGUUGCCAAGCCGCGAGGCGGAGCCAAUCCCACAAAGCCGAUCGUAGUCCGGAUUGUUCUCUGCAACUCGAGAGCAUGAAGUCGGAAUCGCUAGUAAUCGCAGGUCAGCAUACUGCGGUGAAUACGUUCCCGGGUCUU
rnacentral:rRNA from 1 species